AACGAACGCUGGCGGCAGGCCUCAAACAUGCAAGUCUAGGGGGUGUAGCAAUACAUCACCGGCGGACGGGUGCGUAACGCGUGGGAAUAUACCUAUUGGUUCGGAACAACUGAGGGAAACUUCAGCUAAUACCGGAUACGUCCUUACGGAGAAAGAUUUAUCGCCAAUAGAUUAGCCCGCGUUCGAUUAGCUAGUUGGUGGGGUAACGGCCCACCAAGGCGACGAUCGAUAGCUGUUCUGAGAGGAAGAUCAGCCACACUGGGACUGAGACACGGCCCAGACUCCUACGGGAGGCAGCAGUUGGGAAUCUUGGACAAUGGGGGAAACCCUGAUCCAGCCAUGCCGCGUGAGUGAUGAAGGCCUUCGGGUUGUAAACUCUUUCGCGCACGACGAUAAUGACGGUAGUGCGAGAAGAAGCUCCGGCUAACUUCGUGCCAGCAG
rnacentral:rRNA from 1 species